rnacentral:rRNA from 1 species
GUUGUUGCUGUUAAAAAGCUCGUAGUUGGAUCUUGAGAUCUCUGCUGCUUGGGUCCGCCGGAAUGGUGAGUACUCUUCAGCUGGUCUCUUCCUACUGGAUCUCCGGUACUGCACUUAAUUGGGUGGUACAAUUGGCCUUCGGGUCGGUCGCCGGGUGUUCACACUGCCGAGUGUGAGUCUGCAGAGCCGCGUGUCAUGCGUGGCCGAGUGGGCCAUUCGGAUCACAGUCUGGGCGCUGGGUGGGAAUCCAGUUCGUUUACUUUGAGUAAAUUAGAGUGUUUAAAGCAGCCUCUUGGGGCUUUGAAUACAUUAGCAUGGGAUAAUGGAAUAGGACUUUGGUUCUAGUUUGUUGGUUUGGAGGACUAAAGUAAUGAUUAAUAGGGAUAGUUGGGGGCAUUAGUAUUUAAUAGUCAGAGGUGAAAUUCUCGGAUUUGUUAAAGACUAACUUAUGCGAAAGCAUUUGCCAAGGAUGUUUUCAUUAAUCAAGAACGAAAGUUGGGGGCUCGAAGACGAUCAGAUACCGUCCUAGUCUUAACCAUAAACUAUGCCGACUAGGGAUCGGCGGAUGUUAAUUUUUCGACUCCGCCGGCACCUUGUGUGAAAACAAAGUUUUUGGGUUCUGGGGGAAGUAUGGUCGCAAGGCUGAAACU